rnacentral:SRP_RNA from 1 species
UGGAAUUCCUGUGAUUCCUCUAGCCCAAGUGGGGGCAUUAAGGUGGGCGGAUGUUGUUUCAGUUGAGCGGGUAGGGACUGAUGGGGUUAAAUGCUCGCCUACCCGUUCCAAGUUGGGAGAUGAGUCUCGACGUCCGGGCGAAGACCUGGGUGACGUGGUUCCUAGAGUGGAGGGCACCAGGUUUCACAUCUCCUCCUGCUCUCGUCGGUGGAAGGAUAACUGGCCGGUGCUCCGCAGGGUCCCACAGCACCUCUUCAGCCGCUCACAAUCUGACAUCCACCUUU